rnacentral:lncRNA from 1 species
CUCUAAAACACAAAAGUGUAUAUGGUAUCAGAGCCAGGUUGCUCAAAAGGGGGUGAGUGUGUGAUUUCUUUUUCGCAAAUCUGGGUUCUUUCUUGAGUGUUCUUAGUGUUCUUGGUGUUCUUGAGUGUUCUUGGUGAGUCUGGGUUAUGUUCUUCAGUCACUAGGCUCGUUUGGAUCUUUCUGAUGGAAACAAACAACCUAGGCAUGGAGAUGAAGCAUAGUUCUAGUAUUCCAUUGAAGCUUGAAGAGGAAACUGGUGGAAGUUGGUCAAGAUGGGCGAAGGCAGUGUUGAGGAGCUGUGUGUUGUGUGAGAUUUUUAGAGAGUAGAAUAGGUAUUGAGAGAUUAAGAGAGAUUUGGUAAGAGAUUAAGAGAAGUUUAGAAGAGAUUGUGAAAGAAAUGGGGAGAUUAUGUAUGAUCCAUGAUGAACAAGAGAGAGACUAGAGAGAGAGUAACAUAAUCCGCUUAAUCUUAUUAAUGAGAGAGUGUUUACAAUAUAUAGGAGUGUGAUACUAGGGUUUAAGAAGAGACUAAGCAUGUGAGGUCAAAGAUAAGAUAGCCCUUUACUUUGAAUCGAACCAAUGAGCCUCUCCACACGCGUGGUCACUAUUCUAAAAGUGAACCUUAUCCUUCCAGCUUGUGCCAGCCUGUAGAGACGCUCUUCCUCUAUCCAUAAACGGUCAUAUGCCUUCUUUGGUCAAGGCAAAACAUGAUC